GUGGAUUAGAUACCCGGGUAGUCCACGCCCUAAACGUUGGGCACUAGGUGUGGGAGGUAUUGACCCCUUCCGUGCCGCAGCUAACGCGAUAAGUGCCCCGCCUGGGGAGUACGGCCGCAAGGCUAAAACUCAAAGGAAUUGACGGGGGCCCGCACAAGCAGCGGAGCGUGUGGUUCAAUUCGAUGAUACGCGAAGAACCUUACCAGGGUUUGACAUGCUGGUGGUACCUGACCGAAAGGAAGGGGACCCUUCGGGGAGCCAGUGCAGGUGUUGCACGGUUGUCGUCAUCU
rnacentral:rRNA from 1 species